UUUCCGAGCCCAGUGGAUUGGUGUGCAGAAAUGCUGAGCUCCCAGCCUCAGCUGAGACAGGCAGAGAGAUGCUUCAGUGAUUCACACCCUCGUGUCAUGCAAGCACUGGAGAGUUUCAAAGGCUCAGAGAACGUGGUGGUGACCAACAUGCUCAGCAGGCUCCUGCUGUAGGGUGUGAAACCAGUGCUCAUCCAUUUCUGACACCAUGAACACCCAGCAGCAUUGUGCCUUCAGCACACCGUGUCACACGCUAAUGGAACAUUAAACAUUAACUGGAAAUAAGUGAAGGUCUCCAGCUCUUUCUCCUUGCUGUGGACCUACUCUCUGGCCUUGAGCAAAAUGCUAAAUUUUUCUGGGAACCAAUUUCCUCAGUUAAUAAAGUCUGUGGUCGGAUGCAAUGAAGAUCGAUUUAUUAAUGUUCGUGCAGCAUGGGAACGUCCUUGAGGGGAGCGCUCAGGGGAGAGCAGCAUUGUUACUCUUAUCUCCUCCAAGUUAGUACCUA
rnacentral:lncRNA from 12 species